rnacentral:rRNA from 1 species
CCUCUGACGUUAGCGGCGGACGGGUGAGUAACACGUGGAUAACCUACCUAUAAGACUGGGAUAACUUCGGGAAACCGGAGCUAAUACCGGAUAAUAUAUUGAACCGCAUGGUUCAAUAGUGAAAGACGGUUUUGCUGUCACUUAUAGAUGGAUCCGCGCCGCAUUAGCUAGUUGGUAAGGUAACGGCUUACCAAGGCAACGAUGCGUAGCCGACCUGAGAGGGUGAUCGGCCACACUGGAACUGAGACACGGUCAGACUCCUACGGGAGGCAGCAGUAGGGAAUCUUCCGCAAUGGGCGAAAGCCUGACGGAGCAACGCCGCGUGAGUGAUGAAGGUCUUCGGAUCGUAAAACUCUGUUAUUAGGGAAGAACAAAUGUGUAAGUAACUAUGCACGUCUUGACGGUACCUAAUCAGAAAGCCACGGCUAACUACGUGCCAGCAGCCGCGGUAAUACGUAGGUGGCAAGCGUUAUCCGGAAUUAUUGGGCGUAAAGCGCGCGUAGGCGGUUUUUUAAGUCUGAUGUGAAAGCCCACGGCUCAACCGUGGAGGGUCAUUGGAAACUGGAAAACUUGAGUGCAGAAGAGGAAAGUGGAAUUCCAUGUGUAGCGGUGAAAUGCGCAGAGAUAUGGAGGAACACCAGUGGCGAAGGCGACUUUCUGGUCUGUAACUGACGCUGAUGUGCGAAGCGUGGGGAUCAAAC